AAUGAGAAAAAAUAAUCUAGACAAUAAUAUGUUUAGAGGUUGCAUUAAUUUUUAAUCAAUUAAUAAAAAUAUAUUGGGAAAUCUGUUCUUUAUUACCAACUGGUAAAUUAUGUGUCGCCAUCUAGCUGUACUAGCUAUUACUUCAUUGUUACCGACUAGUAAAAUUAUCCUGCCAUCUAGUGGAAGUAACUGUUACUAUAUCUUAUCGACUAGUAGAAUAUGUGUCGCCAUCUAGACGAAAGAUAAAACAUCGCUAGGAUAAAAUCAAGAUGGCUACCUGUCAAUGUAUUUUGAACGCAAAUGCGGGCUAUGUGCAGUGUAAAGUAAUUAAUUUACAAAAUUCUUAGUGAUGCAAUAAUCAAGUGAGAAAUAUUUUUUAUUAAUAUUAAUUCAUUUCAUGUUCUUUCUUUAGUAGUCACAAAUUCAAGACGAAAAUAGUUACAUUAGAUGAAUUUCUGUGGGAUACUGUUAUGUUAUAACCUAACAAAGAUAAUGUUCCCUUUAUCAAGUUAUUAUAACAAAUAAUAAGAAGAAGAAUCUGUUACACAAUGGGAUCAAUGGAUAUACAUGUCAUUCUACAAUAUUAUGCGAAUAGAAUGCAGCUACAGUGAGAAAAAAUAAUUUAGACUAUAAUAUGUUCAGAGAUAAAAAUAAUAAUCUUGUUUGAGGAUAUUAUGUACAUUUGAGGAAGAAUUAAGCUUUAAAAA